CCUGGUUGAUUCUGCCAGUAGUCAUAUGCUUGUCUCAAAGAUUAAGCCAUGCAUGUCUAAGUAUAAGCAAUUAUACAGCGAAACUGCGAAUGGCUCAUUAUAUAAGUUAUCGUUUAUUUGAUAGUACCUUACUACUUGGAUAACCGUGGUAAUUCUAGAGCUAAUACAUGCUAAAAAUCCCGACUUCGGAAGGGAUGUAUUUAUUAGAUUAAAAACCAAUGCCCUUCGGGGCUCACUGGUGAUUCAUAAUAACUUCUCGAAUCGCAUGGCCUUGCGCCGGCGAUGGUUCAUUCAAAUUUCUUCCCUAUCAACUUUCGAUGCUAGAGUAGUGUUCUAGCAUGGUUACAACGGGUAACGGAGGGUUAGGGCUCGACCCCGGAGAAGGAGCCUGAGAAACGGCUACUACAUCCAAGGAAGGCAGCAGGCGCGCAAAUUACCCAAUCCCGACACGGGGAGGUAGUGACGAUAAAUACUGAUACAGGGCUCUUUUGGGUCUUGUAAUUGGAAUGAGUACAAUUUAAAUCCCUUAACGAGGAACAAUUGGAGGGCAAGUCUGGUGCCAGCAGCCGCGGUAAUUCCAGCUCCAAUAGCGUAUAUUAAAGUUGUUGUGGUUAAAAAGCUCGUAGUAGAACCUUGGGCCUGGCUGGCCGGUCCGCCUCACCGCGUGCACUGGUCCGGCCGGGCCUUUCCCUCUGUGGAACCGCAUGCCCUUCACUGGGUGUGCCGGGGAAACAGGACUUUUACUUUGAAAAAAUUAGAGUGCUCCAGGCAGGCCUAUGCUCGAAUACAUUAGCAUGGAAUAAUAGAAUAGGACGUGUGGUUCUAUUUUGUUGGUUUCUAGGACCGCCGUAAUGAUUAAUAGGGACAGUCGGGGGCAUCAGUAUUCAAUUGUCAGAGGUGAAAUUCUUGGAUUUAUUGAAGACUAACUACUGCGAAAGCAUUUGCCAAGGAUGUUUUCAUUUAUCAGGAACGAAAGUUAGGGGAUCGAAGACGAUCAGAUACCGUCGUAGUCUUAACCAUAAACUAUGCCGACUAGGGAUCGGACGAUGUUAUUUUUUUGACUCGUUCGGCACCUUACGAGAAAUCAAAGUGCUUGGGCUCCAGGGGGAGUAUGGUCGCAAGGCUGAAACUUAAAGAAAUUGACGGAAGGGCACCACCAGGGGUGGAGCCUGCGGCUUAAUUUGACUCAACACGGGGAAACUCACCAGGUCCAGACACAAUGAGGAUUGACAGAUUGAGAGCUCUUUCUUGAUUUUGUGGGUGGUGGUGCAUGGCCGUUCUUAGUUGGUGGAGUGAUUUGUCUGCUUAAUUGCGAUAACGAACGAGACCUUAACCUGCUAAAUAGCCCGUAUUGCUUUGGCAGUACGCCGGCUUCUUAGAGGGACUAUCGGCUCAAGCCGAUGGAAGUUUGAGGCAAUAACAGGUCUGUGAUGCCUUAGAUGUUCUGGGCCGCACGCGCGUUACACUGACGGAGCCAGCGAGUACUCCUUGGCCGGAAGGCCCGGGUAAUCUUGUUAAACUCCGUCGUGCUGGGGAUAGAGCAUUG
rnacentral:rRNA from 1 species